CAGGCCUAACACAUGCAAGUCGGACGGUAGCACAGAGAGCUUGCUCUCGGGUGACGAGUGGCGGACGGGUGAGUAAUGUCUGGGGAUCUGCCCGAUAGAGGGGGAUAACCACUGGAAACGGUGGCUAAUACCGCAUAACGUCGCAAGACCAAAGAGGGGGACCUUCGGGCCUCUCACUAUCGGAUGAACCCAGAUGGGAUUAGCUAGUAGGCGGGGUAAUGGCCCACCUAGGCGACGAUCCCUAGCUGGUCUGAGAGGAUGACCAGCCACACUGGAACUGAGACACGGUCCAGACUCCUACGGGAGGCAGCAGUGGGGAAUAUUGCACAAUGGGCGCAAGCCUGAUGCAGCCAUGCCGCGUGUAUGAAGAAGGCCUUCGGGUUGUAAAGUACUUUCAGCGGGGAGGAAGG
rnacentral:rRNA from 1 species